GAGUUUGAUCAUGGCUCAGAACGAACGCUGGCGGCACGCCUAAAACAUGCAAGUCGAGCGCCCAGCAAUGGGAGCGGCGGACGGGUGAGUAACACGUGGGAAUGUACCUUUCGGUUCGGAACAACCCAGGGAAACUUGGGCUAAUACUGGAUACGCCCUUACGGGGAAAGAUUUAUCGCCGAAAGAUCAGCCCGCGUUGGAUUAGCUAGUUGGUGAGGUAACGGCCCACCAAGGCGACGAUCCAUAGCUGGUUUGAGAGAACGACCAGCCACACUGGGACUGAGACACGGCCCAGACUCCUACGGGAGGCAGCAGUUGGGAAUCUUGGACAAUGGGGGAAACCCUGAUCCAGCCAUGCCGCGUGAGUGAUGAAGGCCUUC
rnacentral:rRNA from 1 species